rnacentral:lncRNA from 1 species
UUAAUUGGGAAGCAUUACAUGAAAAAUAACCUUACAAAGUGUAAAUAAUUACAAGAGAAUGUCAUUACAAUUAAAAUUUCAAAGACAAAAUAAAAAUUUGCGUGGAGGGGUAAAAUUGUAAAAUUCCCGCAGGCGAGACGCGGAUCCCGGAUCCUACACUCUUAUCUUUUGCGUCUGUGAAUUUGACCCGAUGAGAUUCUAUAUUUCCUAUUGGGCUUAGAUAUUUCCUACAGGCCCAUCGUUAAUCUCUUUUACUUCAAAUUUCCGAAUCUGCAGUAGAUAAUACGAAAUAAAAACAUUAGCAACACAAAUCAAACAAUACCAUAACUAUUUUUCCGGAUCAAUCAACUACUCUGUAUAUUGCCUUAACAAACAAAUCUCAUAAUUUACACUUCCUAAAAUAAAACGUAUUUAUUUCUAUUCCAUAUAAUAACAAAUCAAGCAUAUUCUUUACUUAUUCUAACUCGGGAAUAAGUUAGCAAUUACUUUUUUGAUUAAUUACACUCAAAUCUCGAAAAAAUCUUACCAUAUCAAAGCAAACUAUCAAUGCCAAUUUAAAAAUAUCUCUUUAAAUGCAAAACUCAAUCAUUUAUAUUGCUCUAUAUUGAAAGAUAUAGAAUUCUAACUUAUUAUAUUUCCCUAAUUGCUUGGUAUUAUAAAUCUCAUAAUUUACACUUCCUAAAAUAAAACGUAUUUAUUUCUAUUCCAUAUAAUAACAAAUCAAGCAUAUUCUUUACUUAUUCUAAAUCGGGAAUAAGUUAGCAAUUAAUUUUUUGAUUAAUUACACUCAAAUCUCGCAAAAAUCUUACCAUAUCACCGCAAACAAUUCAUUCCAAUGUAAAAAUAUAUAUGUAGACAGCAAAUUAAAUGCAAAACUUAUUAAUUCCUAUUACCCUAUAUUAAUAGGAAAGAUACAGUAUUGUAACUUAUUCGAUAAUUAGACACAAAUCUCGCAAAGAUCUUUCCAUAUCAACACAAACUAUCAAUGCCAAUUUUAAAAAAUUUCUUUAAAUGCAAAACUCAAUCAUUCAAAUUUCUCUAUAUUGAAAGAUAUAGAAUUCUAACUUAUUAUAUUUCCCUUAUUAGUUGGUAUUCAAAAUCACACAAUCUCUUCAAUAUCCAUAUUCAGUUCGAUAUUGAUAUACCAAACAAAUAAAUCUCCCUAAAUCAAGCAUAUACCUUUAAGAUCCUAAUCCCAAAUUAUAUUAUACGGCCUAUAUUCUCUAAAACCUAAUAAAACUAAAGGCUCCAUACGAUUACUAUAAAUAUAGGGACCUGCAUUAGAAAGAACUCACCUUUCAAAGCUUUACCAUUACCACUUCACUAUUUCUCUAACAAAAUGGCAGCUGUUCAAGCAUUCACCCCUCUUGCUGACAUUAAGCCCUUCAAAACACAUUGGAAAAUUCAAGUUAAGAUUGUGCAUUCGUGGACACAAUACACUCAAUUCACCGGGGAGACAGUUGAAAUGGUUCUUGCUGAUACAGCUGUAAGUAUAAGAACUAUCAUUUUUCAACAUAUUAAACAUUUAUCAAUCAUCAAUAUCACUGGAUGAUUAACAUGAGUUCUUUUUAUCUGUUGCCAGGGUACUUUGAUUCAUGCUACUGUUAAGAAGCCACAAGUGAGCAAACUGCAAAGGUUCAUAGUUUCUGGAGAAUGGCGUAUUAUCGAGCAUUUUACGCUAACCAAAUCAACAGGAAAGUAUCGAGCCACAAAACAUGGUUUCAAAAUGUCCAUGAUGGAAAAAACUGUGAUAAGUCGCACUCCUGCUGUUUCUGAUGACAUUUAUGUGGAUCUGGCAAACUUUCCAGAUAUUUUGAAUGAAGCAGGAUUGAGUGAAAACAUCUUAAUUGGUACUAUAUCUAUCUUACUUUCCAUUGUAUAUUUUCUUUUUCUAUUAUAAUAGGAACUUCUUCAUGAAAAUAUAAUUUAUUACUCUCUUAUUUUGCAGAUGUACUUGGACAGGUAGUUAGUUUCAAUGAAAUGAAAAUUCAUGAUGUUAACAACAAGAUCACAAAGAGACUUGAGUGUGAACUCAGAGACACAAAGUAAGUUUAAUCAUGAAUCUACCUUUUUUAUAUAAUCUUACAUACAUCUAAACUUAAAACUUUCUCAAUAUUUUUGUUGUAUUGUAGUGAUGAAAGGCUGAAAUGCACUCUUUGGGGGAGAUUUGCUGAGGCAAUGUAUAAUGCAUGUCAAAAUGCAGGGACUGAGAGAGUGAUUUGCUUGCUUCGGCUUGCAAAGAUCAACUCAUUUAAAGGUAUAGAAUGUUGUUACUGGGAAUAAUGCAUGAUUUUGAAAUCGAAAUGAAAUCAGAACAUAUGUGAAAAUACUAAUAUCAUGCUGUUUUUAGGUGAAAGAGCUGUUUCAAAUUCAUUUGAUAUGUCUCUAUUGGAAAUCAAUGCUACCUACCCUGCUGUUCUUGAGUUUGUGGCCAAGUAAGAUAUGUUUAAACAUCACUUUUCUUUUACUAAUAUAGAUAACUGUGAAUCCUAUUUAUAAUAUCUAAAGUUGAUUUCGUUUUCUUUUAUUUGUUAAAAAUAGUUUACCACCUGAUGUUAUUCCACUGACGAUCGAAGACUCGAAGGCAAAACAAGUGAAUGCAGAACAGAGAAAAAAGGAUUACUAUGAUCGUUUUCCAAGGAAAACCAUCUCUGGACUCUUUUGUUUUUCUGAGGUAUUUGUAUUUGAUAAUAGUAUUUUUCCUAGCAACUAUUAAAUUCUCUGUCUAUACUGCUAAUUAUCUAUUUUUUUGGAAUAGACUGGAAAGUGCAACAUAAUUUGUACCAUAAUGAAUAUCGACACAGACUAUUCUUGGUAUUUCUUUAGUUGCCUCAAGUGUAGCAAAACUGCCUAUAAGAUUCCAAAGGUUGAAAAUGAGAUUGUCAAGAAAGGCAAGAAAGAAAUGUUUUGGUGUCCAACAUGUAAGGAAGACACUCCUAAGGUGAUACCAAGGUAAGACUUUGAGAUUUGCUAAUAUAUAUCUACAUUUGUCAGAUAAUAACUAUGUACCUAAUCUACUUUCCUGUUCCUUUGAUAUGUAGGUAUCUUUUAAACGUUGGAGUGAUGGAUAGCACUGGAGACACUAAAUGUCUUAUCUUUGAUAAAAGUGCACAAGAGAUAAUCGGUGUGUCUGCAGAGGAUUUGCUGGAAGGGAAGUGGGAUGAGGUAAACAAAUUUGUUGUUAAUAUGUAUAUAGACCAUAUUAUUCAAAUAUCUUAAAUACUUUUUUCAAUCUAUCAUAACAGAUUCAGGAUCCUACAAACUUGCCUCAGCCAAUCAGAGAUUUGGUUGGAAAGACUUUCCAGUUUCUGGUGACUGUUGGAAAGGAAAACAUCAAUGAAACUGAUGAUACCUACAAGGUUUCAACCGUUUGGCUGGGUAAUGAAUCUGACAAUCUAGAUACUAUUGAAGAUUCUGACCAGCAGACUGACCAACGUAAUGACCUCUCUAUUGAUCAGGUAAUGUUAGUAGGUGCAACCAAAAUCAAUCUAUCAAAAAGUUAUUCAAGUUUAUCACUAAAGGGCUGGAUCGUGUUUCAAUUAAAUAGUGAGUACCAUCAGUUAUACUCAAGUCAGGGAAUAAAUUAUGGAUACUUAUAACUAUAUAAUUUAAUGACUUUGUUAUAUGAAAGAUUAUCUAUUAUAUAUUGACUAUCCUGAUUUUCUUACUUACAGGAAGGACUUGCUCUGACCAAUAGUGGUGAAACCACUGACCCUUUUGGUCCUACAUCAUCCACUCCUUCAUCUAAGCGUAGUAUGGAUGCAGUUUCUGAGGACAUUGAAGGUUAGGGUUCUACUACUAAAAAGGCAUGUGUCUCUUCCCUUCUUGGUGACAUUGAGAAGGAAGAGAUUGAAGGUGGCAAGAAUUAAGUUGUGCUGGCUGGGAAUAAUGUAGGGAGCUUGGCUGUAGCAAUUAGUUUUCUAUUUUUUUCUUUUGUUCAAGUUUCAAAACUUAUUUAGUUUUUUCUUUUAGCUAUGUGCUAUUUAAUUCUCAGUUAUUUUGAAUUCAAGCAAUAAACUUGAAGCUUCUCCUUAUACUAAACUCUUUGCAAAAUAUAAACUAACUUAUGCUUAAACUAAAGAUCACAAAACAGAAAGAGAAAAUAUACUAACCUGUGCUUUGUACUGAUGAAUUUUCAUAUAUAAGCCCCAUUACUGUAGCUAACACUGCAGAUAAAAGAAAACACAUAUUAGUAACAAACAUUGAGAGCCUGCGAUGAAUCUAUACUAAUCUGACGAUAUCUAUACUAUAAAUGGCUAACUUAAUUAAUAUGUGAGAUAUAUAAGUACAUAUAUUUUAAAGGGCAUAUGUGCAAAUAUUUUAAAGAUCUUAAGCUAUUAAAAUCUAUCUCCUAUUCUAAAUCGUUAACAAAUUGGAAUAGUAUAGCAGUAUAGAUAAAUCAGUUUUAAAAGGGUUCAUUGUUGUAGUAUAACAACUGUUUUCACGACCAAACUGGCAUAUUUAACCUAUUAAUAUACAAGAUUCUAUGCUAAAAAUAAGAAUAAAUCAAUUAGAUUUUAUUAUGAAUAUGGAAAAGAAAAUAUAUUCUGUAAUCUUUUCAGUUUAAUGCUAUCACACUAAAUCAGGCUGAGACGAUUUCUUUAUAAUCAUUACAUAACCAUUUAACACCUUCAAUCCUAAUCUAUAGCUACUCGCCUCAUUAGCAAAGAAACAUCUAUAAGGUCAGUCUUUUAAUCUCUUUCAACAUAUAACAUGUUCAUUGACAAAUGACAUAAUUGGAGAUUCGUUUUUCCUCACAAAUCUAUUUUGUUUUUCAGAAUGAAGAGAAGAAAAAAUGAAACAGUAAAAGAAAAUAACAAUGUAAUGCAGACACCUAACACAAAGCGUUCUAGGUCUCAGCUACAUGAUGAAAACAUAAAUCCAAAUCUACAGAACCAACAAGAUAGGAGUGAUGUUCAAGUAAAAGGGAUUUUUAAUCGAUUGAGAUCUGGAAUAGGUAACAUACCAGCCCAGCAGUGUGAUUCUGAAGCCUUACAGACAGUAACUGGUCCUUCUUCUUCUGCAGCCAUACAAAAGGAAACACAAGGUAUGUAAACAUUUAUAUUCCAACAAUAUAGCAUCUCCAUAUGAUGCUAACUAAUAAAUAACCAUAAUGUAUAGGAUUUGCAUCUACAGUUACUUAUAAUACGAGUGUAAGAUCAGCCAAAAAAACAGCAAGGACACAGAGAAGACCUUUUCAAGAUGUGCAGAACAUUAUUAAUACAUCACAGCUUCACAGCGAGGUUCACCAAACUCCACUUAAUCCACAUAAGCCACCAGAAAAAAAGGGGAAAAAGUGGAGUCCACCAUCUGUUAAUAGCAAACAAGGUAUACAUGCCUCUCAAUAAUAUGAAACUAUUACAUAAAAAGUAUUAAUAGAUCAACACUGAUGGAGUAAUGUUUAUUUCAUGAAGCUGCUAAGGGUAUUAUACUUACCAAUUCAAGAAUCAAUCUGAGGUUCCCAAAGUCUUUGGCAAAGGAGAAGAAAACAUCUCACAAGAGUUAUGAUACAACAAUCGAAGAAGACUCUGAUGAGAUCCUGAAUUCAAAGGAAGAAACAUAUAUUAAUAUGAGUAAGUAAAAAUCAUUAUGAUAUAUUUUCUAAACUUAAUAAAGCAUCCACUAAUCAGGGGAAAAAACUAUGAUAGGUGAUUUGGAGGAAACACGUGAACAGGUUUACGAGUGUAGUAGUCCAGAUGAAAAUGAUUCAGAAACAUCUGAAGAUUAUGAAACCAUAGACGAUAUCCCAAUCGAAGUCAAACAAAGAUAUGAGUUUUUAUCAAUGUUAGAUGAAAGUUUGACCAAAGCUUUUGGAGAAAGAAAAACUCCUAAUGUUUCUAGCAGAAAGAACAAAAACACAGGUACUACAUCAUUGGUUUAUUUCUAAUUCUUUUCUUACACAAACUUUACUUAUGCUAAACUGUCUUUCUGUUAUUGUAGAGUAUCUAGAUCAUGGAGAUCCUGUCUACUCAUGUUCCUACUGCGGUGCUAUUAUGUGGUAUGGCGAACGCAUCAACAGACAUAAGAAAGUUCGUAAACCAAUUUUUACUCAAUGUUGUCUGCAAGGAUCUGUGAAACUGCCUUUCCUCCAUAAUCAACCAGAACUGUUAUUUGCUUUGCUAACCAAUGAUGAUGACAUGAGUAGACACUUUAGAGAGAACAUCCGAGCAUAUAACAUGAUUUUUUCAUUUACUUCUCUUGGGGGUAAGUGUGAUAAUUCUGUUACAGCGGGAAGGGGUCCUAAUAUGUUUCAGAUACAAGGAGAGAAUUACCACCAGAUGGGAAGUUUGAAACCUGGAGAAGGUGAAUUUCCUAACUUUAGUCAGCUAUAUAUAGUUGACACAGAGAAUGAAGUUGAAAACAGAGCAGGAAUUUUAAGGUACAUUCUCUAACUCAAAACAAGCAAUUACAGUAUCCAGACUUUGUGUUUUUUUCUGUAAGUAUUAGUGUCGUUGCUAACUAAAUUAAUAUUUCAGCAAAGGAAAAUCUGCUGGGAAAUAUAAGAAGAAGCCAGAGUUGAGAAAAGAAAUAAUUGAGGCGAUAAUAAAGCUGCUAAAUGAAGUUAAUCCAUACGUUGCUCAUUUUAGACAAGCUCGUGAUAGGUUUAAUACCAAUCCUGAACAGAGCUUUCACAUGAAAAUAGUGAGUGACCGUGUCAAAGAUGGAAGAACAUAUGUAGUGCCAACAGCUUCAGAGGUCGCAUCGCUGAUUCCAGGUGAUUUUCACAUUGGUAUGCCAAGUCGUAACAUUAUUAUUGAAGAAAAAUCUGGGUAUUUACAAAGAAUCAGUGAAAUAGAACCAUGUUAUCUUGCUCUACAAUACCCUUUGUUGUUUCCAAAGGGUGAAGAUGGUUAUAGGACAGGUAUUCAGAAAGGGAAUAACCAUGGUAAAAAGAAAAACAAGCCCGAAGGAACUGAGGAGAAUGAUUGCAUAAGUUUGCGUCAAUGGUAUGCGUAUCGUAUACAAGAGAGAAAGAAUGAACAAAGUAUCCUGCUAAGGUCAAAACGGUUGUACCAGCAGUUCUUGGUUGAUGCUUAUACCACCAUUGAAGCUAAUAGGCUCAAAUAUAUUAAACUGAAUCAGUCAAGUUUACGAGCUACUAACUAUGAUUCAGUUAAAGAGGCGGCAACAGCAGGAAAGACAGAUAUGAAUGAAGAAGGAAAAGCAUUUUAUCUACCAGCUACUUUUGUUGGUGGGCCAAGAUACAUGAAGAACAUGUACAUGGAUGCAAUGUCUACAUGUAAUCAUUAUGGAUUUCCUGACCUAUUCAUUACGUUCACAUGCAAUCCAAAAUGGCCUGAGCUGGUAAGAUUCUGUACUGAGAGAAAUUGUAAUUCCGAUGAUAGGCCAGAGAUAAUAAGCAGAAUGUUCAAAAUGAAGCUGAAUUCUCUAAUGGAUGAUUUAACGAAGAAACAUAUAUUGGGGAAGACUGUUUCAUGUAAGUGAUUUAUUUUAAUAGUUGCGUUAACAGUCUACAGUUUAAUUAUCUGUUUCUGCUAUUUUUUUAAAUGUCGUUUAACUAAUAUUAUUAUCUCAUGUUGUUCUCGCAGCAAUGUAUACAAUUGAGUUCCAGAAAAGAGGUCUUCCUCAUGCACAUAUAUUGAUAUGGAUGCAUCCAAGUUCUAAGUUUCCAAAACCAGAAGACAUUGAUAAAAUCAUUUCUGCGGAAAUUCCUGACAAGAAUAAAGAACCAGAACUUUAUGAGGUCGUAAAAGACAUGAUGAUUCAUGGACCAUGUGGCGUCGUCAACCAGAAUUCACCAUGUAUGCUUGAAGGGAAAUGUUCUAAGUUUUUCCCAAAAAAACUUAGAGAACAUACUAAGGUUGAUAAAGAAGGUUUCCCUUUGUACAGAAGAAGAAAGACAAAGCUGUUUGUGGAGAAGUGUGGAUUUAAGUGUGACAACGGAUAUGUUAUACCCUAUAACAAGAAGUUGCUGCUUCGCUACAGAGCUCAUAUUAAUGUUGAGUGGUGUAACCAAACUGGCUCUAUCAAGUACUUAUUCAAGUAUAUCACUAAAGGGAUGGACAGAGUUUCAGUAGUUGUUGAGCCUAAUGAAAAGUCUACAAAGACUACAACUACUACAGAGAAGUCUGAUACUUCAAACAGUGGGGGCACAAGUAAAAAUGAAAUACAAGACUUCUUUAAUUGCAGGUAUAAAAUCUACUUGGAUUUAGGUAAAUAGUUUAGAUGCUUAACUCAUUUCUAACUAAUACAUGUUUUAUGAUAUUGUAUCAGAUAUGUAUCAGCAUGUGAAGCUGGAUGGAGAAUCUUGAAAAAUCCUAUACAUUAUAGGUCAACGUCUGUUCAAAGAUUAUCCUUCCAUCUACUAGGCAAACAACUAUUAUAUUUUAAAGGUGAUGAUGAGGUGAAAACAGUUUUGAAAAAAUCAGAAUUACAGAAUUCGAUGUUUCUUGCUUGGUUUGAAUUGAACAAGCGGUGUCCUAAAGCCAAAGAUCUAACAUAUACUCAGAUUCCGGAAUAUUAUACUUGGGAUGGUAAAACAAGAACUUUCAAUAUGAGGAAGCGACCAGGGAAAACAAUCGGAAGGAUUAAUUAUAUCCCACUUAUUUAUGAGGAAGGUUAUUAUUUAAGAGUGCUUCUAAAUCAUCAAACUGGACCUGAAAGUUUCGAAGACAUCAAAACAGUGAAUGGCGUGGUGUACAAAUCGUUCAAGGAGGCAUGUUAUGCUCUGGGUUUGCUUGACGAUGACCAGGAGUAUAUUGAUACAAUAAAGACAACCAGUUUUUGGGCUACUGGAAACUACUUGCGUUGUAUGUUUGUUGUAAUGCUCCAGUCUACCAGCUUAUCUCAACCAGAAGUUGUUUGGGAAAAAACAUGGGAACUUCUAUCAGAAGACAUCGAAAGAAAAAGGAGAGAGUACUUUAAAAGACCAGGUAAUUUUUGAUCAAAUAAUUUAGUCUCUUUGGUUGGUUUAAAGAGUUGUUACUUUGCAAUUUUAAGUAGUUUUUGUCAUGAUUAUUCUGUCUUACAAAUAACACUGUUUUUUUACAUAUUUUUGGGACACAGAACUAACACUUACGGACGAGCAAAAACAGAUGUUGGCUUUAAAAGAAAUCAACAGCAUCUUACGAAGCAAUGGAACAUCUCUAACAGCUUUCAGAACAAUGCCACAGUUACCUGAUGAGGAAAUUGAUGAUAGUAAUGUCUUGAUACUUGAUGAAAAAAGCUACGAUCGCAAUGAACAGAAGGAAAAACUUGAAGAAUCGUUGCAGAAAAUGACAGAUGAGCAGAAGAGUGUUUAUUUAGAGAUCAUCGAUGCUGUUGAUAAUGACAAGGGAGGUGUCUUAUUUGUCUAUGGCUUUGGUGGAACUGGUAAAACUUUUAUAUAUACGACACUCUCAGCUUCUGUAAGAUCUAGAGGUUCUAUUGUGCUAAAUGUUGCUUCCAGCGGCAUUGCUUCUCUAUUGUUACCUGGUGGGAGAACAGCGCACUCUCGGUUUGGUAUUCCAAUAAAUCCAGAUGACUUCACUGUAUGUAAUAUUGAGAAAGGUUCAAAUCAGGCAGAAUUAAUAGAAGAAGCGUCUUUGAUAAUUUGGGAUGAAGCUCCAAUGAUGAGUAAGCAUUGUUUUGAAUCUAUGGAUAGGAGUUUCAAAGACAUUAUUAAAGGUGGUGGAAACAAACCGUUUGGUGGCAAAGUAGUUGUUUUUGGUGGAGAUUUCAGACAAGUACUACCUGUGAUACAUGGUGCUUCGAGAGCAGAAAUUUGUAUGGCUGCACUUAAUGCUUCUUAUCUUUGGAAUCAUUGCAAAGUUCUGAAACUCACGAAAAAUAUGAGGCUACUUUCAAAGGAUUUGAGUCCAAGUGAGGCUAAGGAUAUAAAAGAAUUUUCAGAGUGGAUUCUAGCAGUUGGUGAUGGUAAGAUAGCACAGCCUAAUGAUGGAGAAGUGAUGAUAGAAAUUCCAGAAGAGUUUUUGAUCACAAACGCUGAUAAUCCAAUUGAGGCAAUAAGCAGGGAAGUUUAUGGAGAUCCUAAGUUAUUGAAGGAUGAAACCGAUCCUGUAUUUUUCCAACAAAGGGCUAUUUUAUGUCCUACCAAUGAAGAUGUGGGUAUUGUCAACGAUUAUAUGCUUGAUCAACUCGAAGGUUAGUCUCCAUUACUCUUAAUGUUUUAGGCAUUUCAUUGAGAUAUGAUGUAUUAUAAAGACAUUUUAAAUUAUUUGUAGGUGAUGAACAACUAUACCUAAGUUCAGAUUCUGAUGAUCCUUCUGAUAUUGGAGGUACAAAUAAUCCCGUGUUGACAUCAGAGUUUUUGAACGGUCUAAAGAUAUCUGGAUUGCCAAAUCAUGGUAUAAGGUUGAAAGUUGGUUGUCCUGUGAUGUUACUACGAAAUUUAGAUCCAAGAGGAGGGCUAAUGAAUGGCACUAGACUGCAAAUAACACAAAUGGGUGAUAAAGUCAUUGAGGCUGUCAUUAUUACAGGUGAUAGAGUCGGAGAUAAAGUCCUCCUUCCCAGGAUAUUGAUAUCUCCAUCUGAUACUAAACUUCCGUUUAAAAUGCGUCGAAGACAACUUCCAAUAGCAGUUGCUUUUGCUAUGACCAUUAAUAAAAGCCAGGGACAAUCUUUGAAUAAGGUUGGCAUCUAUCUACCAAGGCCAUGCUUUUCUCAUGGCCAACUCUAUGUAGCUAUCUCAAGGGUAACUUCAAAAAAAGGACUGAAGAUACUCAUAGUGGACAAAGAAGGAAAGCCGCAGAAGGAAACGUUGAAUGUGGUGUUUAAGGAAGUCUUUCAGAACCUAUAAGGUUACACCUUGCAAAAGACAUUUGGUGUAAGAGGUAACAAUCAAUGAAAACUGAUUAUUAUUUUCACCUGUUACACUUUACUAAUUUCUUAUUGGUUGUCUGAAGAGGUAGAAGCUGGUAUGGAAAUGGAAAUUUGGUAGUAAUCUCUUCAAUCUACGACUUCCAUUGAAGAGAUUAUUUUACCAAACUUGGUCUAUUAUUCUCUCAAUUCUCUUUUAAUAAUAUAGAUUCAGAAAUUUUGUUUAUUAAUAUCAGCAUAACUUUGUUUUAAAUAAUUUUUCAUUUACAUUUAAAUCAUAUUAAGUACAAAUAGGUAAACUAUUAAAAGUUUACUAAUUCAAAAAACAUAUACAGAAUCUAAAUAUUCUGUUAAUUCAUAUAAACAAGUAGUAUUACUUUAAUAUCUUAUCAACCAAUUGCAGAAUUUAACAUACAUGUCAACAGAGAAUAUAGUAAAAUCAUUUUUGAAAAACAAUUAACACAUCACGAUAACUCCAUAUUUAAUUGUGGAUCUAAAUACUUUUUGAAUCAUUUAGACCUCACUAACCUUUAUCAGUGCUUCCAAAUUUGCCUUCUUUAAAGAUGUUGCAUGGUCUGUAAACAUAGAAUUAUCUAUCAUCAGUACCAUUAUAAUUGUAACUAACAAAUAGAAAAAACUAGAUCCUGUUACAAAAAAUCGAUACUAUUAUUAAAGUACAUAUUUACUUAUAUAUAUUUACUUAUAUAUAUUCUAUUAUAUAAAAAAUCUAUCAUGAAUAACAAAAACUAAAGAAACUUCCAUAUUUGACGGUUUAUACAAUCUAGACAAAUCUAAAUCGUUGCGUGUAUCUUGGAAAAUGUAAACUGUAUCCUUUUGUAAUAAUUAGCAAUGAUUCGCAUCAGUCUUUUCAAAUUUUUAUAUUUUAUAUCUUCUAUUAACGAUUCAGUUUCCUUUUCUUUUUAUUUUAAUCCUUUGCGUCUCUUAACCAAUAUAUCUAUAUCUAUAUAUAUGCGUUGAGAGAUUUUAGAUUUACAGAGAUAUCUUCCCAGUUGAAAGCAAAACAAAAUCUUUAAGAAACUAUGGAGAAAAUGCACCUUCUCUCUGAUUUGCGAAGACAUUCCACAAAGUGGAGGGUUUAUGUUAAGAUAAUGAGUAUAUGGCAUCAUAAUCCUCCUUUCAAUGGUGAUCUAACUACAAUGAUUCUCGCAGAUGAGAAGGUUUGUUUCUAAUUCUAUUGUUCUGUUUUACACCUUUUUAAAAUCAUGUUCUAGGGUUGAAAAACUACUUAUCUAAUUUGUUUGUUUCCUUUGUAUAGGGGAAUUUUAUGGACGCAACAAUUCCACAAGGUUACUACCUCUGGAACUUUCAGCCAGGACUCAAACAAGACGUUUGGUACUACAUGACUGACUUUCAAGUCAUCAUACCUCCAAACCAAGUCAGAUAUUCAACUAUGCCACUUCAGGUUAGGUUUAUGAGUAAAACUACCAUGUGGCCUGUUAGAUCUAAGUCCUGGAACAAUUACUGGAACCUUGUUUGGCCUGAUACUGUCAGAAAUGCUCAUGAAGAUGAUAAAAACUCUGUCUCUGGUAAUAAUUUCUGAAAUUAAAUGUUUUAUACCAAGAUUUAUUAUAUAUGAAGUCUUAUAUGACCAUUUUCCUGUAAUAUUUUAUUAGAUGCUAUGGGAGUUAUUUCUGCUGUUUCCACCAUAGGAAGGUUUCCAUAUGUGUGUCGCAGAGGGGAAACAGACUAUGAAUCUCGCUAUGUCUGCUUCAAAAUUAAAAAUAAUGUGUAAGUUUAGUUUACCCUCUGUGACAGAAUUUCAAUGUCUGUUCUUAAAUUACUUUAAGAAAUUGGAUUGACUGUUCUUUUUGUUUGGAAAUUAAACUUUCAAUCUAGUGGGGAGACAAUAAAAUGCGUAGCUGUGGGAAAGUGAUGUGAGUUCUUUGUGAACACUUGGUCUCAGAAGAUAAGCGGAAUAAACUACAACUAUGAUAAGAUUGUUGCAGUCUUGCGUUUCUGGAGAAUAACUUCUUACUGUGGUUGGUUCUUAUUAUAGUUUUAUGAACUGACUUUACAAUUUUAUUAGUUACAUUGACUGAAUCUUUUUUUUUUUCUAUAGGAAACAAUGUUUUAAUGAGUGAAUAUGGUUGUUCACGUCUAUACAUUGAUCCAAUCUUUUAUGAACUUGACAUUCCAAGUUAUCUGUAAGUUAAAAAUUCUCUUAUAAUUAACAUAUAUUUUGGUUGAGAUUCAUAGCCUAGGUAAACAUAAAGAAUAUGUUUUUUUGCAGGCGAUCAUUCGACGAUGGAUCAAGUGACGAAGAGGAUGUGAUGAUGGAGAUGGUUGCUGAGAACUAACAUGUGAAGGAAGGAGGGAUUGGAUUUGCAAGGUUACUUCAGUUUCUCUUAGUUUAUGUUGUUUCUUUUUACAUUUUUAGAGGAGAUGAACUCUGUCUUUUUGAAAACUUCCUUUGAGGUAUGGAAAACUCCUUUUGUAAUCGACUUAAACCUACCCUAUUUGUUUCUUUUGUACUUAAUCUCUAUUUUACUCUGUUUUCCAUAAAAAGUUUUAUUAGUAUAUUCCCUAAAUUUACGUAAGUUUUCUAAAAACUAUUUGGUAGUAAUCUCUUCAAAUCUAAGACUUCCAUUGAAGAGAUUAUUUUACCAAACUUGGUCUGUUAUUCUCUCAAUUCUCUUUUUACACAAAUUCAUAAACUUCUAUUAUUAAUAUCAGCAUAACUUUGUUUUAAAAAAGUUUUCAUUUACAUUUACAUCAUAUUAAGUACAAAUAGGUAAACUAUUACAAGUUUACUAAGAAGAAAUCAUAUACAGAAUCUAAAAAUUCUGUUAAUUCAUAUAAACAACUAUUAUUACUUUAAUAUCUUAUCAUCCAACAGAGAAUAUAGUAAAAUCAUUUUAGAAAAACAAUUGACACAUCACGAUAAGUGUAUAUUUCAUAAAACAUGCUAAUUCAGAAAGAGACACAACUAACAAUAGCUAAAUAUUGGGAAUAGAUUACACCAAAUUUGAAUCAUUAACACAUCACUAACCUUUAGCAGUGAUUUCAGAAUUUGGACUGGCUUUAAACGACAUCAAAUUUUCCUUCUUUAAAGAUUUGAGUUUGGUCUGUAAACAUUGAAUUAUCUAACUUCAGUACCAUAUAUAUUUAAAACAUCUUUUGUGAUAGAAUAGAUCGUAACAGAGAACUUAUCUUUGUAAAUCGUCUUCUAUUGGCAAUAUCAUCAUCUUCGUAAUAAUCUGAAAUCCAUUUAGAAAAAGUUAAAUGUUAAACCUUUUAAGGAAACAAAAGAUUUUGUUAAAAUCUUUACACUAUGAAAUUAUAAAAACUAUAAACUCAAUGGCUUUGCAGAUCUAAGAAGAUAGAUUGAUUUACUUGGUAAACACAAAUAAAAUUGAAAAUCAAUUUGCGAUUUCUUAUAAAAUUAAUUGAAAUAAAAAAAUUUGACUAUAAUUGGUAAUCCUAACUCAUGUAAGUCAGGGUUCUUCAAAUUUAUUGCCCAAUAUCUCUGUUCAAAUUGGAAAUUUCUAAGAUCGAAAUCGAAUCUACAAAUUUAGAUAAAAAAAAUUUCGAAAUCUGAAUAAAUAAAAGAUUACCUCUAUGAAGAAUUCCGAUUUUGAGAUAGAAAGAUGAUAAACGCAGACGUAAUAGGUUGAUAAUCGAACAAUUUUAUCAUCGAUUCUUAGAUCGUCCAUUAAGCUUUCAAGAACAUAGGGUUUUUUUUUUCCACCGAAAAAGAACAAAAAUGUCGUGUUGGAUUUUUAUCUGUCCAAAGAAAAAAAC